GUAGGGCCAAGCGUUGUCCGGAUUUAUUGGGCGUAAAGAGCUCGUAGGCGGUUCGGUAAGUCGGGUGUGAAAACUCAGGGGCUCAACCCUGAGACGCCACUCGAUACUGCCAUGACUAGAGUCCCGGUAGGGGAGCGUGGAAUUCCUGGUGUAGCGGUGAAAUGCGCAGAUAUCAGGAGGAACACCGAUAGCGAAGGCAGCGCUCUGGGCCGGUACUGACGCUGAGGAGCGAAAGCGUGGGGAGCAAACAGGAUUAGAUACCCUGGUAGUCCACGCCGUAAACGUUGGGCACUAGGUGUGGGUUCCAUCCAACGGAAUCCGUGCCGUAGCUAACGCAUUAAGUGCCCCGCCUGGGGAGUACGGCCGCAAGGCUA
rnacentral:rRNA from 1 species